rnacentral:rRNA from 1 species
UACGGAGGAUCCGAGCGUUAUCCGGAAUCAUUGGGUUUAAAGGGUCCGUAGGCGGUUUUGUAAGUCAGUGGUGAAAUCCGGCAGCUCAACUGUCGAACUGCCAUUGAUACUGCAGGACUUGAAUUACUGUGAAGUAACUAGAAUAUGUAGUGUAGCGGUGAAAUGCUUAGAUAUUACAUGGAAUUCCAAUUGCGAAGGCAGGUUACUAACAUUAUAUUGACGCUGAUGGACGAAAGCGUGGGGGAGCGAACAGGAUUAGAUACCCUGGUAGUCCACGCCGUAAACAAUGGAUACUAGCUGUUUGGUUGUAAGACUGAGUGGCUAAGCGAAAGUGAUAAGUAUCCCACCUGGGGAGUACGGGCGCAAGCCUGAAACUCAAAG